UGGGCUGUAGCCAAGCGGUAAGGCAACGGACUUUGACUCCGUCAUUCGUAGGUUCAAAUCCUGCCAGCCCAG
rnacentral:tRNA from 1 species